rnacentral:misc_RNA from 1 species
GCAACAUUGAAACGUGUCAAUGCCCGUGACAAUGCAACACUGCAACGAGACACAGUUGAAAGUUGGCGCCGGAAAAAAUUAAAAGAAGCCAGGGAGCUUGUUAAUAGGAAGACAUCAAAUUCAACUAUUGCCCCCGAGGAAGCUGGUCUACUUGCACAAAUUUUGGAUGUUGACUGGGCUGAGCUGUCAGAAGAAAUUGGUCUUUGGAUACCUGUUGCAAUAAUUCAUAAGGAACAUCACGAAAAACCUGAGGGUGAAGAAGAAUUUGACAAUGAAAUCAUAGCUGGCAGGCGGCUUCCUCCUGAGUGUAAUGUUGAACUUCAUACGGAUUACGGUGGAGAUGCA